rnacentral:lncRNA from 1 species
GGGGUGGGCAGGAUGCCGUGAAGGUAGCUGGGCUCUCGGGGAGCAAGGAUCACCUUUCCCUGUGCGGUUCUGAGAGGUCAGGUGACCUGGGUGCGGGAACUCGUGUGUGUGUGUGUGUGUGUGUGUGUGUGUGUGCGUGCGCACAGACUGCAGAGACCAGGGGUCGUAGACUUGAGCUUGCCCAAGUAUCCCAGGAUAUGCAGGCCGGUGUGAAGGGCCUGGGGGCGCACAGAGGGGUGCACCGUGCCCCUGUCCCCCCGAUGUCAACGUACAGAUGGGAUUUUGGAUCUGCAACCCCUGGGUCCAGGGAGUGAAGUGGAAAAGUGGCCCCACCUGUCACUGCUGGUCCACAGGGUUUCUUGCCUGCUCAAAGCUGGCCCUGCCAUUCCCACCAGACCACAAGGACCUUCUCCAGGACUCAGAGCCCAGGGCCUUUCAUCGGACAGAGGAGAUCUGAGCACCUGGCUGGCUUUAGGGGUGCCUCCUUCUCCCAUCGUGGGGGCCUCCCGACCGCAGCCAGGUUGGGCUAGCCCCAAAGGAGACAGCAGGAUGGUUCCAGGAAGCCUGUGCAGCCAGUGAUGUGAGCCUGAACUCCCCAGAUCAAUGGGGGGAGGGCUGGCAGCCAGCGAGCCGGCCGGUGGUGUCAGAGCUGGGGUCUCAGAUGGCUUGAGCAGGGUUUCCAGCCCUCUUCCAGGCUCAGCCCUCCCCCCAGCCACAGCCCUACACUCCCUGCCAGGCACUGACCUCCCG